UCUCAAGAAGGACUACGCUAUGGAAGCAAAGAGGGACUUUUAUGAACUGUUGCAGAGUGUGUUUUGUGUUUAGUAUUGUGUUUUCUUUAUUGUAAUAUUCCCCUCAUUGUUAUACCCUACUUUUCCAGCACUUUCCCUCAUCCCUCAUGGCCCUAAACCACGUCCUCUUAUUGGUUAAUUUUUGGUGCAGUGCCAUGUAUAUUUAUGUUUCUCCUUAUAUGGUGCUUGUUUGAAUGCUCCGCCUUAACUCCACCCUCUGUUACAGCACCUUCCCUGCCCUGCAUUAGAAAAGGCGGGAGCCAUGUUGUGUUGAUGCAUUCUAGUAAAACCUUUUCACCUGGAUGCCAGAAGUGCGUCUGCCUGCUUGCUUCGGAGCUAACUGCGACAAGCGGCACCCUGCGUGUGGCACGACCCACAAGACUUCUAACAUCUAAAGAAUAACAAGGACCACCGCAGCCGUGGGAACAACAGCAGUGCAGCCAGAACAUUCCUGAGAUCGCACCCAGCCUUAUCUUUUCGUUUACUCGCAACUCAAGACUCUCCAUUUCACUUCCCAAACUUCUUGUUUUCUUGCUUCAAGGAAAUUUGCAUUUACAAACUGCAGCUUUAAAAUUAGUGUUCUCUGAGAUAGAGUGACUGUAAUCGUCUAACGGCAAGAAUUCGGUCGAGAUCCCCGUGUGCCAGUGCACCAGCACUGGGAGCAACACUACAUCUUUCUUCAAGCUGACAACAGGAUACAACUAAACUCUCCCUGUCAUAGACCACUGCAAAACCAGAACAGAUCCAAAACCCGUUUUCAUUUUUUUCUUUUCCCUUACAGCAAAUCCUAACAUAGUUUUCUAUUUAAUGUCAUGUGUUUAAAAAAGUAAUUAAAUUGUUAUUUCUUCUUAUUUAAUAAUUUAACAUCUGAAUAAUUUGAGGCUUUAUUUGAAAUGAAAAUUUGCAUUUUUGUUGACAUAUUUGUUGAGUUUAUUUCUAAAGGUAGAGACUAACUUCCAAGGAUGAACAAGUUGGUAGGAGACCUACUGUUGCACUAACAUGCACUGGUAAAGAGAAUGAGUUCUGAUGGGGAGAGCUACUGUUGUCUGUAGAUAGUGAAAUCUGAAAAGAUGCUGUCAGCCACGUAAUAUGAUUCUGCUCCCUAAAAUUGUAGUCCCUUUGCUCUGCUGAACCAUACCCUUCCGUCUUUGCCUGGUAGGCUGAUGGCAAUGCAGGAGCGAAAAAUCUCUUACACACUAGUAUGUAAAGCAGAGGUUUUGAGGAAGACACGUGUACAAGUUGUAGAAGGCGUGCGGAAGUUGUAGAAGGUAUGUGAAAGUUGUAGAAAAUCCAUUAAAGUUAAGUGUGAUAUAGAAGGAUCAAAGAGUGGUUUACUAAUAAUAGUGGAUAUUGAAUGUUAAGUAGAAAAGUGAAGCGAUCCCAACAUUAUUGAAAGCAAGUUCCCCUUUACCUCUUGGGGAAAAGUGAUAGAAAAGGAUAUGUGAAAAGAAAGUUUUGUGUAAGUCGACAGAUGGUAAGAGAGGGGAGACAAUUGGCAAGAAGUUGUUCUACAAAGAAAAAGAGUAAGUUAUAGGAAGAAUGUGGAAGUGGUAAGAAGAAAAGCAUCUCCAUGGCAGUAGAGAGUGGAGAGUGCUGAGGCCAGAAGGAAAAUGGCACCUCGAACCCUGGAAAUAGUUGCAACUGAUUGCUGAUUGCUGUUGCACUGAGUUUCAGACUGUGUUAGUAAAUUAUGGUGGUAACUUGCUUAUAUUUUUGAGUUCAUACCUUUUAUUUCAUGUAAUACCUGACCUCGCAAUUUAGUUUCAGCGUGUGCAACCCUUCGUCCCCCUGCAAUCCAUCUACUAAUAAAAACAAGAAAGGGGGAACAGAGGGAGACAGAGCCAAAUGAUGGCCUUGCGAAUUGUUUGGUAACAAAAAUCGUUUUUUAUGUGAAAUUUUGUAUUUUUUAAUAGCUGUCUUAUCCCUGAGUAAUAGAAAAGUUUAUAUGGCUUUGAGUUUUGAAUUGAAAAUUUAUGUUUUACAAGAAAUAUGUUUGCUAAAACAAAAGUUUAUUUUAUAAAGAGCGACAUGAUAAAAUAAACUUAAAAGUGUGUUCGCAUGAGUGAUGGUGGCCACCGUGAGAGUUCGUGUGAAUGUGCGUGUGUGUGUGUGUGUGUGAGCUUAAAAAAACGCAACAAGAGCUACCUCAAAUGCAUUAUCCUGACAAAGUAGGAGAAAUGUUUUAGUAACUGACCUUUGCUUAAUUUCGUAAAUUCUGUUUGUUCUUCUUCUUGAAUUAAUGACUAAUCUCUAUUUUCUUUACUUUGGUACCUCAAAUCACAGUUGAAAAGUUAUGCCGGCAAAUUUCCACAGGUUGUUAAAUUGUUUAUGGUUUAAAAGUUCAUUGUCGUUGGAAGUUUUGCUAUUCAAGGUUACAUAUCAAAGUUUGUUUGGUUGUUGCAAUUAAAUAAAAUAAGUAAAAAUCCAGUUAUGGAAAGGUCAAAAGCAAUCUAGUAACGUCAAAAUUAAAAAUAAUAAGAUUGUCAUUUUACAUAUAUCCCUUGAUGUACUUUUAUGUAUCUUAACAUCAUUGUUUACUUCUUUUUAUACAUUCAAGAUAGAUUCAUAAAAGUGUUCCCAGAUUCACUUUUUUUUUAGUAAACAAAAGAAGGGGAGAUGUUGGAGGUGGACAAAUGAAGGAAAUAUCGCCUCUCAAGAAGGACUACGCUAUGGAAGCAAAGAGGGACUUUUAUGAACUGUUGCAGAGUGUGUUUUGUGUUUAGUAUUGUGUUUUCUUUAUUGUAAUAUUCCCCUCAUUGUUAUACCCUACUUUUCCAGCACUUUCCCUCAUCCCUCAUGGCCCUAAACCACGUCCUCUUAUUGGUUAAUUUUUGGUGCAGUGCCAUGUAUAUUUAUGUUUCUCCUUAUAUGGUGCUUGUUUGAAUGCUCUGCUUUAACUCCACCCUUUGUUCCGGCACCUUUCCUACCCUGCACUGUAAAAGGUGGGAGCCAUGUUGUGUUGAUGCAUUCUAAUAAAACCUUUUCACCUGGA